UACGAAGGGUGCAAGCGUUAAUCGGAAUUACUGGGCGUAAAGGGUGCGUAGGCGGUUCGUUAAGUCUGUCGUGAAAUCCCCGGGCUCAACCCCGGGAAUGGACUGAAUACUGGGAGGCUAGAGGAUGUCAGAGGAAAGUGGAAUUCCUAGUGUAGCGGUGAAAUGCGUAGAUAUUAGGAGGAACACCAGUGGCGAAAGCGACUUUCUGGGACAUUUCUGACGCUGAGGUUCGAAAGCUCGGGGAGCAAACAGG
rnacentral:rRNA from 1 species